AAUUUUAUUGGAGAGUUUGAUCCUGGCUCAGGGUGAACGCUGGCGGCGUGCCUAAGACAUGCAAGUCGAGCGGGGCAGGUUUAUACCUGUUCAGCGGCGGACGGGUGAGUAACGCGUGGGUGACCUACCCGGAAGAGGCGGACAACCUGGGGAAACCCAGGCUAAUCCGCCAUGUGGUCCUAUCCUGUGGGGUAGGACUAAAGGGGCGACCCGCUUCCGGAUGGGCCCGCGUCCCAUCAGCUAGUUGGUGGGGUAAAGGCCCACCAAGGCGACGACGGGUAGCCGGUCUGAGAGGAUGGCCGGCCACAGGGGCACUGAGACACGGGCCCCACUCCU
rnacentral:rRNA from 1 species